UUCUAGCCCCGAUGGAAAUGAAAAUCCUUUUUGCCCGGCGUCUAGCAGGGUAAAAAGAUUGCAAUGGACAGCGGGUUACAAU
rnacentral:sRNA from 1 species